GGUCAGCUGACACAUCCCUGCCAAUCUCCGGCAGACCCUCCCUCCCAGACCCUCCUACUUCCUGGACAGCAUCCAUGUUGAAGGCAGCUUCAACAUGGAUGCUGUUCAGGAGGUGGGAGGGUCUGGGAGGGAGGGUCUGCUGGAGAUUGGCAGGGAUGUGUCAGCUG